UCCACCUGCUCUCCUCUUCCCUUGCCCCCUCUCUAGAGCUCCGGACGCCCACAAGUCUCUACCUUUCGAGGUUUGAGCUCGAAUCUGCAGAGGGAGGAAGGAAGCCGCCGCCGUGUCGACUGGCUCACAGAAGUGUUCUUUGUGUGGGCGGAGUGUGGCUACAUCCUCGGGAUUUCCGCCGUAGCCCUCCGCUUCUUCCGUCUCUUUCUUGAAUUGGCGGUGAAUCGGCUCCGAUCAUGUCCAAGAACCAGAAGCCCCGAAAGAAUUAACCGGAUUUUAGCACUGUUCGGUUUUCGGAUCACUUUUUCUCUCUGAGAAAUCCACUAGCUGAAGAUCUUUAGUUGCAGUUGCUGGGGUAGUGCUGUUUGAAAUGACACCGAAGCUGUACAUGGUGCUUAUGUGGGCAGUACUGCUUAUUGUCUAUAGGACAACGAACUUUCAAUUUCAACAUGCAGAGUUGGAAACAAGAUUUCAUCCUUUUGAUUCAAUGAAGGACCAUAAAUCAGUUUCUGUCAGGGUUGGUUACCUACCUCAUGGUAUGGCACAAUCAAAAUCGGAUUUGGAACUA